GAGUUUGAUCAUGGCUCAGGAUGAACGCACAAGACAUGCCUAACACAUGCAAAUCGAAUGAAAAGAAUUAAUUAUUGUUUUCAUGGUGAACGGGUGAGUAACACAUAAGAAUCAGCUUUUAGAUAAGGCAUAAAAGAGUAAUAUCUUGGUAAUUCCUUAUAUGCGCAGCAGUGCUUAAAAAGGGGAGUCCCGUCUAAAAACGAGCUUAUGCCUGAUUAGCUAGUUGGCGAGUUAAAAGCUUACCAAGGCGAAGAUCAGUAGCUGGCCUGAGAGGGCGGCCAGCCACAUUGGGACUGAGACACGGCCCAAACUCCUACGGGAGGCAGCAGUGGGGAAUCUUCUGCAAUGGGCGCAAGCCUGACAGAGCGGCGUCGUGUGAAGGAAGAAGGCCUGAAAUAGGUUGUAAACUUCUUUUACUGAGUAAUGAAUAAUGACAACGCAGUAAAAAAGUAUCGGCUAACUCCGUGCCAGCAGCCGCGGUAAUACGGGGGAUGCAAGCGUUAUCCGGAAUCACUGGGCGUAAAGCGUCUGUAGGUGGUUUAGUGUGUUCUUAGUUAAAUUAUGAAGCCUAACUUCAUGAAAAGUAAGAAAACUAUUAGACUUGAGUACGAUAGGGGUAAGAGGAAUUCUUCGAGAAGUAGUGAAAUGCGAAGAUACGAAGGAGAAGAUCAUAAGCGAAGGCUUCUUACUGGGUCGUAACUGACACUGAGAGACGAAAGCUAGGGGAGCGAAUGGGAUUAGAUACCCCAGUAGUCCUAGCUGUAAACGAUGGAUAUUCGGUGCCGGAAAUUUUAUUAGAACAUUUCGGUACCCUAGCUAACGCGUUAAAUAUCCCGCCUGAGGAGUACGCUCGCAAGGGUGAAACUCAAAGGAAUUGACGGGGGCUCGCACAAGCGGUGGAGCAUGUGGUU
rnacentral:rRNA from 1 species